UUGGCUGCUGCUGUUGCGGAUCCAUCUUCUGAGCCUCGCUCAUAUCAGGCUGCCCUGCGCAUUCCACAUUGGCGAGAGGCUAUGGAGCAGGAGUUUCAUGCUCUUCUUCGUAACAAGACAUGGACUCUCGUUCCUCCACCACCACGGGUAAAUGUUAUUGACUCAAAAUGGGUAUUCAAAGUGAAGAAGCAUUCGGAUGGAUCUAUUGAGCGUUACAAAGCGCGACUUGUUGCUCACGGUUUUCGGCAGCGUCAUGGUCUUGACUAUGAGGACACCUUCAGUCCUGUCGUCAAGCCUACCACUAUUCGGCUUCUUCUCUCCAUUGCUGUUUCUCGUGGUUGGUCACUUCGUCAACUUGAUGUGCAGAAUGCUUUUCUACAUGGAUUUUUGGAGGAAGAGGUUUAUAUGAAACAGCCGCCUGGUUUCUCUGAUCCUGAU
rnacentral:rRNA from 1 species